CUGGCCGUAAACGAUGGAAACUAGGUGUCCGCGGUAUCGACCCCGCGGGUGCCGGAGCUAACGCGUGAAGUUUCCCGCCUGGGGAGUACGGCCGCAAGGUUGAAACUCAAAGGAAUUGACGGGGGCCCGCACAAGCGGUGGAGUAUGUGGUUUAAUUCGAUGCAACGCGAAGAACCUUACCCAGGCUUGACAUCCCGCGAACCUCGCUGAAAGGCGGGGGUGCCCUUCGGGGAGCGCGGAGACAGGUGG
rnacentral:rRNA from 1 species